UACAUGGGGUGCAAACGUUGCUCGGAAUUAUUGGGCGUAAAGCGCGCGUAGGCGGUUACUUAAGUCGGAUGUGAAAGCCCUCGGCUUAACUGAGGAAGUGUACCCGAAACUGAGUAGCUAGAGUACGAAAGAGGGUCGCGGAAUUCCCGGUGUAGAGGUGAAAUUCGUAGAUAUCGGGAGGAACACCGGUGGCGAAGGCGGCGACCUGGGUCGAGACUGACGCUGAGGCGCGAAAGCGUGGGGAGCAAACGGG
rnacentral:rRNA from 1 species